rnacentral:lncRNA from 1 species
AUUAUUAUUGUUUUUAUUUUUAGGACUACACCCUCGGCACAUGGAAGUUCCCAGACUAGGUGUCCAAUCAGAGCUGCGGCUGCCAGCCUAUGCCACAGCUCACAGCAACACUGGAUCCUUAAUGCACUGAACGAGACCAGGGAUCAAACCUGAGUCCUCAUGGUUACUAGUCAGAUUCAUCACUGCUGAGCCACAGUGGGAACUCCUCUUUCUCUUUUUUUGAACCAUAAUUAUUUUCAAAUAUCUUAAGGAGAACAGUAAAGUUUUGCAUAUUCCUUGAGGCUUUUUAAAAACUAGGAGGAUUGAGAUUUUGUUUAUUAUUUUUGGAGAGAAAUACAAUGUGGGAAGGCUUCUCAUUUGUAGGUGCCUGAGCUCUGCCCCCAGGGCCCCUCCAGGCUCAGUGUCUGUCCUCUCCAUGGUAAAUCACAGGUGACAGUCACAUCUGGGGAGAACAGCCCAUGGGAACACAGAGAUUCACACUGAGAGCAGUAAGGGGAGCUUGGGACAGCCUCCAGAGCAGCAGCGGGUGACAGGGCAAGGGACUUGUCCCCUUCAGCACAGAGGGAGCCCAGAAUCACCCUGAAGAGUGGAAAUGGAUGUUUCCCUUUGGGGCCAUGGAGAUUUGGGACAACUUGAAAUAUCAGUGGGAUAUCAAGCUUCAUCUGGCGCCUUGAUAGAUAGUCUUGGGCUUACAUUUUCCUAAAAUGGUGGGGAAAAAAGAAGAGGCAAAAGGAAAGCAAGGAUCUCAUCUUCCAGGACCUCGGUCUACUCACUGGGGAGUCAAGAACUCCACUUCCUCCAGGGUCCGUGUUUUCUCUACCGGCUGUGGCACUCCCUCACGUUUUUUGCCGUUGUUGUUUGUUUUUUUCUUUCUCUUUUUUUGUCUUUUGUCUUUUUAGGGCCACACACGUGGCACAUGUAAGUUUCCAGGCUAGGGGUUGAAUCGGAGCUACACCUGCCAGCCUCCACCACAGCCGCAGCCACAGCAACUUGGGAUCUGAGCCACAUCUGUGACCUACACCACAGCUCUCGGCAACACUGGAUCUUUAACCUACUGAGCGAGGCCAGGGAUCGGACCCACGUCCUCAUGGAUACUAGUUGGUUUUGUUAACCGCUGAGCCAUGACGGGAACUCCUCCCUCACCGUUCUAAGGCUGAAAUUCCCUGAUGUGUCUUGAGAGAUGGACACAAGGUUCAAAUAGGGCUGGAUGGAGACCGAGACCUCUGAUAACGCGCUUCCCUGUAGAUAUGGGGUUAGAGUGUUCAUGGGAUGAAAGAGAGGCAGGGCCAAGUUCACAGCCAAAGGCAAUGCCACCCAGAAGUGUCCCCAAGGAGCCUCCACGUCCAGUUCAAGAUGACCACCUUCAUAGAGGGCUACUGAUGUCCUCAUUUCAACAGCUCUUUCUGCAUCCACCCCAAGAAGAGCUCGCUACUUGGUGAAGGUCCCGUGGAUAACCUUACAAGGUCACUCCAGCUGUCGUUUUUUGUGUAUGUUUGUUUGCUUGUUGUUUUUGUUUUCUUUUUAUGGCUAUACCUGUAGCAUAUGGAAUUCCCUGUGUUACCGUAUCCGAUCUUAGCACCUUGAAACUCUUCCAUCACUAAUGAGGAGACACAGAAAGCUUUGAGCAACCUCAGCUUUCCACUGAGCUGCUGAGCCCAUACCGAGGUCGAAGCCUGGAAGUCCACCCACAUCUGCCACUCAUAGGCACAGAUGUUGGAACAGAGUUCAGUCCUGCUCUUUCCCGACCUUAAGAGGCUUAGCGCAUCUCUGAAGCUGGAACAGGAGCUGGGAGGCACAGCUGAUUGGAAACGAGCUCCUCAGAACCACAGCACCCACAGCCGCACUUUGAGUUCUGUACUUCAAAGGGUAGACUGGGGAGUUCCUGUUGUGGCUCAGUGAUUCAAAUCCAAUUAGUAUCCAUGAGGAUGUGGGUUCGAUCCCUAGCCUCGCUCAGUGGGUUAAGGAUCUGGCGUUGCUGGGGCUGUGGUAUAGGCCAGCAGCUAUAAGCUCCGAUUUGACCCCUAGCCUGGGAACUUCCAUCUGCUGCAGGUGUGGCCCCAGAAAGCAAAAAGAAAAAGGGUAGUUUGGGAGCAGGGCCAUAAGUGGAGCUGGGAGGACUGGCCAGCACAAAGGCCUUUGGGAACACCAGGCUUCUGGGUGACACUGUCACAGACAGAGCAAAGCUGGCUGACGAAUUAGCUCCCACCAGCUAUAAGGCUGGCCCCAGAAAGUCCCUGGUCAAUUUCCUCAGGUUGGUAAAAAGAAUCACAGUUAGGCCUCAAGAGACCUCUUGGCUCUUAAGAUGCUGAGUUUGUUCCGCUCCUUCAGGCCAAGUUCACGUGGGCAAUCAAGUCAUGCAGAUCCUUAAAGGGGAAAAGGCACCUGGUUUGGCGUGCAUCUGGUUCCCCUUGCCUCCGAGUUCUGGCCUUCACAGGAAGGUCUGCCCUCAGGAAUCCCGUCAUUCAAUAAACCAGCAUCGACUGAACAACUACUGUAGCCAUCAACGCAGUUAUGGUCACUGAUGAACGCAAGUAGCAGUUAGUGAACAGGAGGAAGGUCUCUUUCUUGUCAGGAAGGGUCUGUGAGGGUCCCAUCCUCUCUGGGCCCCAAACCUCCCAGGGUGGCUCAGGGACCUAGGCUCCCUUUAACGUGUGGGACCACACGUCAACAUGUGGCUUCCUGGUCACCAAGUUGGGAUCAGAGGGAUUAUGAAGAAUUCACGACAUUUGUCGUUGACCCCCUCUCUUGGUGGUGGUUUUUUUUUGGGGGGGGGGUGCCGCACUAGAGUCAUAUGGAAGUUCCCAGGCUCGGGGUGGAAUCGGAGCUACAGCUGCCGGUCUACACCACAGCCACAGCAACACCAGAUGUGAGUCACAUCUGCGACCUACACCACAGCUCAUGGCAAAUGCUGGAUCCUUAACCCACUGAGCGAGGGUGGGGAUGGAACACACAUGCUCAUGGAUACCAGUCCGGCUCAUUACCUGCUGAGCCACAAUGGGAACUCCUCGACCGCCCCCCUUUGGAGUAACACCAGUCAUUACUUUUCACACUUAUUGCCAGAACUCAUCAUGUGAACUUCCAAGUGAACUGCAAGCAGGCUGGGAAAAGUACUGAGCAUGACUGUCUCAGCCCCCACUCCCUCAUGUCCAAAAGCCCACAAGUACUUGGGGGCUCAAGAUAAAGAAAGGAGCCCCCUUCCUUUCCUGGGGAGAUGAAAAAGCCAGGGAAAUAUCUUUGUCAGUAGAUGCUGGACAUACUGAUUUUAUGGAACAUAGUUGGCAGGAUUCCAGCUAUAGUGAACCCCUCCACCCAGUGGGGUUGGUCUGGGAAGAAGAGGAAUAUUUAAUUCUAACCAUGCUUCACUCACAGGGGGCUGGACCUUGUGGGUAAGCCAGCCAAGUCUCUAUAGAAAUAGAGGAGAAGAGGUAUUGUCUUCUAUGCCCUCUUGAAGUCAGGAUUUGGUUGCAACUGACUAUUUUUAUCUUCCCUGAGGUGACCAAAUCUGAAGACUUGUCUAUUGGCCCAGGGGAAGAUGCUGGGGUCACAACAAUAUGGUGGUGCAACUAGAUUAUAUAUAUAGACAUAUAUAUAAUAUAUAUAUGUAUGUAUAAAGUCCUCUGGAAACAAUUAAGUUUAUUUCAUGGUUCCCACUAAGUGGCCAAUUUAAUUUAUUAGACUCUGCCUUCCACUCACGUUGUGUAAGCUAUUCAUUGUCCGUCUGCCUGCCCAUCAAUCCUUCCAAAAAUCUAUCUAUUCUUCCAUCCAUCCAUCCAGUCAUCCAUCCAUCCAUUCAGGCAUUCAUCCAAUCAUCCAUCUAUCCAUCCAUCAUCCAUCCAUCCAAACAUCUAUCCAUUUAAGCACUCAUCAAGUCAUCUAAUCAUCCUCUAUCUGUCCAUCAUCCAUCCGUCCAAACAUAUAUCCAUCCAAACAUCCAUCCAUCCAAGCAUCUAUUCAUCCAUCCAUCUGCUCAUCCAUCCAAAUAUACAUUCAUCUGUUCAAGCACUUAUCCAAGCAUCUAAUCAUCUUCUAUCUAUCCAUCCAUCAUCCAUCCAAACAUCUUAUCAUCCAUCCAUCCAUCCACUCAUCCAUUCAAAUAUACACCCAUCCAUUCAAGCACUCAUUCAAGCAUCAAAUCAUCCUCCAUCCAUCCAUCCAUUUAUCAAAACAAAUACUUGUUGACUGCUGACUCUUGCUGGACAUGGCUCUAGUCAAGGGGUAUAUAGCAGAGGACAACUAAGACUAGAUCCUUACUCUUCUGGAACUUAUAGUCUACUAGACAAUCAACAAGAAAGGAAAUAUUUAGAAAGGACCAUACCAGAGUUCUCUAGGAGCUAUGACGACUAUGAGAUGGAAGGAUAAGAGAAGGAGGGACUUGAAUGGGAGGGGUGUGAGGCUACUCUAAGGUGUUCAGAUAGCCUCCCUGAGGAAGGGAGAUAUGAGCUAAGACCUGAGUCAUGAGGGGGAGUCAAACCAGGGACAACAUGGGAGAAUAGAACUCAAGAAAUGACAGACAAAGAGGGCAAAACUUUGAGGUGGGAAUGGAUCUGUUUUGUUAGAAGAACAAACAGAAGGGAACCAGUGAGGUUGGAGUUAGUGAGCAAGAAGGGCUGCAGCAGGAACUGAGGGUGGAGUACAGGGCAGAUCUGUAUCACACUGGGCUUAUAAGACCAUGGUCCUCAGUCCAGAUUUCACUCUAGGAUUUAUGGGCAUCUACUGGAGGGUUUUAAGUCCAGGAGUGACAUGAUUUGAAUUAUGUUUUUAAAAGGUCGCCCCAUUAAGUUUCAUUUAGCAAACAUUGACUGUCUACUUAGUAGAUUCAUCUAAGAGCCAUGAAAUGCUCUGGAGGCAGGGAGAGCAAAGGAGAGAAAGACAGAAGCUUUUAAAUUUAUAAAACAAACAUUGGCCAUAGUGCUUUGAAUCCAUUAGCAUAAAUGGCACAUCUGACUUGAUGGAACAUCAUGGAAAAUUGACCAUGAGAAAUUUAAAGUCCAGCUGCCCUAGAAAGAGGUAGUGACACAGAGAGUCUGAUGACCCACAGGACUCUCAGGGGGACCCAGCCAGAGAGAGAUGGAUGGGUUUCAAGGUGGACUUAUGCAGGUUAUUUUCUCUUCUUCAGCAUGACCCUCAAUUUUCUGGGGUCCUUUCUAUACAGUUCCAGAAUCUUCCCGGAUGUCCAGAAAGCAAAGUUUAUGGGGCUGGGAUGGUGGGGAAACUAGGAAAAGGCAAUGAAGGGAGCAGGGGGACCCAUUGCUUUGCAGGACCAACAUCCAUUUUUAAGGCAAAAUAUCUUGUUUUUCCCUUGAAGUCUGUCCCUUCUCUCUCUGUGUCCCCACGGUGCAAGUGAACACUGAUCUGCCUCCACAGGCUCUAGGAUUGGAAGGAAACAUCUGUGAUCAAGGCCUGGACCAUUACAUCUCCUUGCAACAGAUUUGAUUUAUGUUCAGUUUGUGGCUCCAGCUGUCCAAUUAGAUCAUUUGAGAGACUUUUCCUGAUAGUGUCAAGACACUUAUUAUCUUUACUCUG